AUUAUAGUGAUUCCAUAGAACUUUAACCAUAGGUAUCUCCUUAUUUCUCAAUCUUCUAAUCUGGGUGUCCAAGAUCCUCAUAGGCUAUUCGACAUAAGAAAGAUCUUUUAAAAUUUCCAUGUCGGGUUCACUGAUUACCUUGUUUGAAUCCAACACAAACUUCCUUAACAUAGAGACAAGAAAAACUAGAUUGAUUCUUUCAAUUUCUG
rnacentral:misc_RNA from 1 species